ensembl:lncRNA
GAGGGGUGACCAGUCCUCUACUGACUGUACUGGGUAGAGAGGAACCAGGCUCUGAGGGGUGACCAGUCCUCUACUGGCUGUACUGGGUAGAGAGGUACCAGGCUCUGAGGAGUGACCAGUCCUCUACUGGCUGUACUGAGUAGAGAGGAACCAGGCUCUGAGGGGUGACCAGUCCUCUACUGGCUGUACUGGGUAGAGAGGAACCAGGCUCUGAGGGGUGACCAGUCCUCUACUGGCUGUACUGGGUAGAGAGGAACCAGGCUCUGGGGGUGGUCAGUCCUCUACUGGCUGUACUGAGUAGAGAGGAACCAGGUUCUGAGGGGUGACCAGUCCUCUUCUGGCUGCAAUGGGUAGAGAGGAACCAGGCUCUGAGGGGUGACCAGUCCUCUACUGGCUGUACUGGGUAGAGAGGAACCAGGCUCUGAGGGGUGACCAGUCCUCUACUGGCUGUACUGGGUAGAGAGGAACCAGGUUCUGAGGGGUGACCAGUCCUCUACUGGCUGUACUGGGUAGAGAGGAACCAGGCUCUGAGGGUGGUCAGUCCUCUACUGGCUGUACUGGGUAGAGAGGAACCAGGCUCUGAGGGUGGUCAGUCUUCUACUGGCUGUACUGGGUAGAGAGGAACCAGGCUCUGAGGGGUGACCAGUCCUCUACUGGCUGUACUGGGUAGAGAGGAACCAGGCUCUGAGGGGUGACCAGUCCUCUACUGGCUGUACUGGGUAGAGAGGAACCAGGUUCUGAGGGGUGACCAGUCCUCUACUGGCUGUACUGGGUAGAGAGGAACCAGGCUCUGAGGGUGGUCAGUCCUCUACUGGCUGUACUGGGUAGAGAGGAACCAGGCUCUGAGGGUGGUCAGUCCUCUACUGGCUGUACUGGGUAGAGAGGAACCAGGCUCUGAGGGUGGUCAGUCCUCUACUGACUGUACUGGGUAGAGAGGAACCAGGCUCUGAGGUGUGACCAGUCCUCUUCUGGCUGUACUGGGUAGAGAGGAACCAGGCUCUGAGGGGUGGCCAGUCCUCUACUGGCUGUACUGGUUAGAGAGGAACCAGGCUCUGAGGUGUGACCAGUCCUCUACUGGCUGUACUGGGUAGAGAGGAACCAGGUUCUGAGGGGUGACCAGUCCUCUACUGGCUGUACUGGGUAGAGAGGAACCAGGCUCUGAGGGGUGACCAGUCCUCUACUGGCUGUACUGGGUAGAGAGGAACCAGGUUCUGAGGGGUGACCAGUCCUCUACUGGCUGUACUCGGUAGAGAGGAACCAGGUUCUGAGGUGUGACCAGUCCUCUACUGGCUGUACUGGGUAGAGAGGAACCAGGCUCUGA